GAGGGGGAACACAUUCUUCAUCAUCAUCAUCGACAUUCCUCAUCAUUUCCCAUUUUACAAGACUGAGAGUGCAACAAAAAGUGGGAGUAUACAGGAGGACUCCCCGACACCCCUUUUCUUCCACCCCUGGCAGCAUUCGCUCUCAGAAGAACAAGCCUCGAGACAAAGCACCGGGGAGAGAGCAUGGCAAUACUUCAAGAGCUGAAGAUACAGGACAAGGUACCUGUCUCCAAAGAGCCACCCAUGAAAGAAAUCCGAGACAGUGAGGCAAUAGGAGGAAAAUCAGAAAACGCUGCUACAGAUUUAAGAAUGUUAAAGAAUGAGUGGAGAAACCUGAAAAUCAAACUCGCUUGACAUAGAAGACUGGAAAUGUUCUUAAUAAAAGGAUUAAAAUGAA